rnacentral:rRNA from 1 species
AUACGUAGGGUGCAAGCGUUAAUCGGAAUUACUGGGCGUAAAGCGUGCGCAGGCGGUUUUGUAAGACAGUGGUGAAAUCCCCGGGCUCAACCUGGGAACUGCCAUUGUGACUGCAAGGCUGGAGUGCGGCAGAGGGGGAUGGAAUUCCGCGUGUAGCAGUGAAAUGCGUAGAUAUGCGGAGGAACACCGAUGGCGAAGGCAAUCCCCUGGGCCUGCACUGACGCUCAUGCACGAAAGCGUGGGGAGCAAACAGGAUUAGAUACCCUGGUAGUCCACGCCCUAAACGAUGUCAACUGGUUGUUGGGGAUUUAUUUUCUCAGUAACGAAGCUAACGCGUGAAGUUGACCGCCUGGGGAGUACGGCCGCAAGGUAAAAACUCAAAUGAAUUGACGGGG